rnacentral:rRNA from 1 species
GACGAACGCUGGCGGCGUGCCUAAUACAUGCAAGUCGAACGCAGUGGGGACGGGUGAGUAACACGUGGGUAACCUCCCAUCAGAGGGGAUAACACUUGGAAACAGGUGCUAAACCGAAAGGGUGGGAGGGAACGGCGGGGCAUGGGCUAGUUGGGGAGGUAACGGCUCACCAAGGCCACGAUGCAUAGCCGACCUGAUAGGUUGACCGGCCACACUGGGACUGAGACACGGCCCAGACGCCUACGGGAGGCAGCAGUGGGGAAUCUUCGGCAAUGGACGAAAGUCUGACCGAGCAACGCCGCGUGAGUGAAGAAGGUUUUCGGAUCGUAAAACUCUGUUGUUAGAGAAGCGGUAUCUAACCAGAAAGCCACGGCUAACUACGUGCCAGCAGCCGCGGUAAUUC